rnacentral:rRNA from 1 species
AGUGAACGCUGGCGGUAGGCCUAACACAUGCAAGUCGAACGGCAGCACAGUAAGAGCUUGCUCUUACGGGUGGCGAGUGGCGGACGGGUGAGGAAUACAUCGGAAUCUACUUUUUCGUGGGGGAUAACGUAGGGAAACUUACGCUAAUACCGCAUACGACCUACGGGUGAAAGCAGGGGAUCUUCGGACCUUGCGCGAUUGAAUGAGCCGAUGUCGGAUUAGCUAGUUGGCGGGGUAAAGGCCCACCAAGGCGACGAUCCGUAGCUGGUCUGAGAGGAUGAUCAGACACACUAGAACUGAGACACGGUCCAGACUCCUACUGUAGGCAGCAGUGGGGAAUAUUGGACAAUGGGCGCAAGCCUGAACCAGCCAUACCGCGUGGGUGAAGAAGGCCUUCGGGUUGUAAAGCCCUUUUGUUGGGAAAGAAAAGCAGCAGGUUAAUACCCCGCUGUUCUGACGGUACCCAAAGAAUAAGCACCGGCUAACUUCGUG